UCGUCACAACACGGCGUGGUGGCUCCUCCUCCUACCAUAGCAACUCCUACCGUGAAAGAGUGAAGCAAAAGAAGAAUCAUUUGCAUCUCAAAGUCCAGAUCAAAGGUAUCUCUCUAAAACGAAUUAUAGGAAUUAGGAAAAAGAAGAAUCACUUAUGGUUGACCGUACGUAAUUAUAAAGAUCCUAGAAUUAGACUAGAAAAAUAAAAGGAAAAAGAGUACUGUACGUACAACAAAGCAAGCAGAGAAGAAAGAAAUUUGUGUUGAGAAAAAGAACGAUCGAGAGUGACUCGGCAACCUCCACUAGACACUCAAUUGUUAUCUCUCUGUCAAAAAAACAAAAUUUGAUUCCACGUUUCAUUGACUGCCUAAAAGAAAUCAAAAUCAUAUAACUUGCGCGCACAAGAUUUGUAACUUUCCUCUCUGUCUCGACCGUUUCUUGAUUUUUCUAAAAAAAAACCACUUCAGCAAAAUGUACACAUUCAAUUUCGAAGUCUUGAUUUCAUAUCGAUCUCACGUGUAUGCACAUAUAAUCUAAGAAACAGAGAUAGCUCGUUAUCAAUUGCAUAAGAAGUAACACAUCAAAUUAAACUACAAACAUUUAAGACUAAAAAAACAAAAAAACAAAAAAAGGAAAGAAAGAAGAGGAAAUAAUUACUUAAAGGCGGUAUAACAUGUGACCAUCUUCUUCUAUAUAUAUAUAUAUAUAUAUAUAUGGCAACUCCUUACCAGCUGAUACUUAUAUAUAUAUAUAUAAUCUCCCUCAUCUUCAGAUGCUUACAUGGCAACGCGUUGCCAGCUGAUACUUAACGACGUUGUCACCAACCAUAAUUCCACUAGUUCUGCUACCAAACUGAAUAUAAGCAGGACACCUAACAUGCAAAUUGUAUUUCGCAGAGAUAAAGGUUCCGACUUUGAAUCGAACUCGACCAUCAAUCUUGAUCAUCAGCAUCACAACUCCAGCACCUUGGUCUUGACUUAAUGCAGCUGAAUUGUACGGAGAUACCGGCACGGAGUUGCCGUAAAUAAAAGGGGACCAAACAUUAGUCUCUUUGUGUCCUUGGUAAGAAGUAGGUAUGGAAGUUCGUAGAGUUAUUUGUUGGUCACGGUAUGUGCCAUAAAUAUCGAGUCUAUCAUAGUAGAUUCCGACUCUAUCAUCCGGGUUGCGAGAGGAUACGGUGACUUGGAAGUUGGAAGUGAGGAAAUUUGGAUAUGAAACGUUAAAGGCGUAAACCGUAGCAUCUUGGAGGAUGAAUUUUGGUUUUGAAGGACGGAGGAUGGCCCAAACUAUGAGGAUUACGAUGAGGGCAAUGAGGAGGAAGGUUAGGAUUACGGCGAAUAACAGGCGGACGAAUCUUCGGCGUUUGUGGCCGUGGUUGCCGCAGUCUUUCUUGGGUGUCAUGUUGGAGGAGUUGGUGGUGGAGAAGUGGAGAAAAGAGUAGCUUUGUGAGGAAGAUUCUCCGAGGGAAGUGUGGAGUUAUUAAGAGUUCGAGGGAGUGAGUGAGAGAGAGGAUUUUGGGGUUCUUUGCUUAAUGCGGGGGUUGUAUUGACGGUGCCGUGAGAUAAACGCGUUGUGUUAUGGGUGUGUAUUAAGGUCUUGUAAUAAGAUGUGAAAUGGUGAUUAGUGCUUUUAUUUUCUUCAGUUUGUGUGGUAGUGGUAGGACUUGGGAAGGUUCUAGCUUAAAGUUUAAUGUGAUUAUUGGGAUUUAAUUGUUAAAUUGAAAUAUAAGCAAAGAGAAUACUUGUAUUAGCUCCGUAUUUGUAAUUAACGUUGUGGCCAAUUUAUUUGAGGCUUUUUUAGCACAUAAUGAUGAGUAAUUUAAUAACUUUUACUUUUGAAAAUUCUAUGUAUACAUGAGCCUAUGAGAAAAACUUAUGUAUAUGAUAAUGUUUUUUUUCUUUCCCUUUUUCUUUUGAGUGUAUGUCAUUGUAUUAGAAAAUUUCAUAUUUGCUAUAUUUUGGCUAACAAAAAAUUGUUAUUCUUAAACAUAUUACAAAUUAUAAAUUACCAAAAAAAAACUCUAAAAUUUGUUUUGUAUUAUUUUUUAUUAGGUUAUCACGAUCUUAACAAAACAUUUUAAUAUUGGAUUGGUUCUUGAUUUGAUAUAUAUAAAAAAUGUUGCUGGUUGUUGGUGAAUAAUUAAAAAUACAGAGAUCAAAACUAAAAAUAAGGUGAAAUGAUAGUUCUUUAUUUAAAGAAAAAAAUUCGGUCCUUUAUUUAUUUUAAUCAGCCAAUUAAAUAUUUUAUUUUCAAUUUUAUCAUUUUAUAUUGAAUUUGAUUGGUAAUUCAGAUUGAUGAUUUGUUAAUUUCAUGUUGUUUUCUAUCAAUUUAUCGUGGUUUCAAGAAAUAUAUUAUCAAUGGGUUGGUUCUUGAUUUUGCAAAAAAAAAAAAAUAACUUAAUUUUGUUGUUUGCAAAAAAUAAAAGAUAAGGGACCAAAAUUAAAAGUUUGGUAAAAUAGAAGGCCUUUCUUUUUUAAAAAAGUGUCAAUGACUUUUUUUUAAAUAUGCUUAUGUUUUUGUCCAUUUUUUUAUUCUUUAGUUAGGAAAUUAUAGUAUUUGGUCUAAGAUCCAAUUGGAUCCAUAAGUCGAAUUAUAAGUUUGAUAAUUUAACUUAAAUUGAUUAAAGUUUUUUUUAUAACAAUGUUUGAAAAAAAAGGGUUUCAUCUUGAGUUUUUUUUAAAGUCAAAUCAGGUUUUUACUCGUCAUCUAAUUUAUUUCAGAUCCUUUUCCACAUAGUUUAAUUAAAAAUACAAGCUAGACAAAGAGUUGGGUAAAGAAAUUUCAAUAUUGUUCUAUAUAAAUGGAUCUAGUGACAUCGCUAAAGAACUCCCUGUUGCAAUACAUGAGCGUUGUAUUUUUUUUAUGGCUUUUAUGUAGAUUUUAUUUUAAUUAAAGUUUGUUUUUAAAAUAAUUAAAAAUAUAGUUUUAAAAACAAAUAUUUCAGUGAAUAAAUAAUUCAAACCUGCUAUGUGAGGAAAAUAUUUGCCUUUUUCUAUCAUAUUUAAUAUUAGCAUCAAAUUUUAAUUUUAUAAUUAAUAGUUUUCUUGUCAUUAGAAACACAAUAAUAACAUUUAUAUAUUUUUUUUUCUUUGAUUUUUUUAAAAAACUUCAAUUUUAACUCAUAUUGGAACACAGGUUAGGCAUGUAGUAACAUGGUAUUGUUUGUUUUGGUGUUUAAAAUUAUAUUUGAAAGUAUUUUAAAAAUAUAUUCAACUUGAAAACAUAUUAAUUGAUGUGUUUAUAGUAUUUUAAAAUGAUUUUAAUAUAUUAAUAUUAAAAAUAAAAAAUAAAUCUGAAAAGAAUAUUUUCAAAUAAAAUUUAUUUUUUAAAAAAUAUCAUAUACAGUAGUACCAAACAAAGAGUGAAAUAAUUGCCCUGGCCAGGACUAAAAAUUAAUUGUAUUAAAUAAGUAGGCAGGGCUGGGUAAUUACGUACUGUCUUCCUUGAGACAGGCAUCAAUCCCUGUCAAGCGGAUGCCGAAGAAAAGUCAUAGUACACACCAGCGCUCCCCUUUCAUUAAAUAUCUUUUCUACUUUUCAAGCUUAUAUUUAAGGGCUAGAGUAAUUAAUUCUUACUAAUUAGCCAUGUAUAUAUAUUUAUUUACGCAAUUAAAUGUGUCCUCGGAGGUCAUAUUCAUGGGAACAAUUAAGCAGAUUGGUGCCUUUUCAUUUAUGUUUGAAUAUAAAUAACGUUUAUAUAUAUAUAUAUAUCCUAAGAUCAUUUUAUGGCCAGCGUUUUCCUAAAGUUGGGGCCAAUAAUGCAAGGACCUCAAGCCCUUUGGCUGUGCUUUCACAAAGGGAAGCUGCUCUUUGUGCUAAUCGAACUUUAGAAAGACAAAAAGGCAGCAAAAGAACCCGUCAAGCAAGUAAAACUUGAACAGAUGGACUUCCAUUAAUUCGAGAGUUCUUAGAAUAAUGAUUUCAUGUAUUAUUUGUGACACAUGUACCCUUGUAUAAUACUUGGCUACUUGUUUUAAGGUCUCAAUUUGAUCAUGUGCAUGCUUUUAUCAACGUUUGGACUAUAGAUUAAGCAAGUUUCUCAUGAUUAAUCAAGGUUAGAUAUAUAGAAAUGAUAACAUUUGGACUCUAAAUUAUGCUUGAGAUUUCAUACAAACUAAUGAAAAUACCAACAUGUUAAAAGCUCAAAUACCAUCUAAUUUAUUAAAAAUAAUAAAUUUAACAUAGAUGGAUUAUCAUAUUGUGUUGAAAUUCUGAUAUAGAAUAUUUUGGUAAAGAAAAAAACAUAUCCUUCUUAUGAUAAUAUGGACAUAAAUUUUAAUCUAUCUAUUUAAUUCUAGACGUCAUGUUCCUUAUAAUGUCUGGUUUUUGUAACUAUCCGCUAUCAAUAAAGCUUCUAAAUUAAAACUAUAUAUUAUUGUUUUAGGUUGUUGUGUGGUUUUUUAAGGAUAUUUAUGAAUUUAACAAGGUAUUUAGAUAUUUUUUUCAGGUGUUAUAAGUAAAGAAUAAGUUAAUAAAAAGAUUUUUAGAAAAAAAAUAUAAAAUUGUUUUUUAUUUAUAAUAAUAACUAAAAUUAAGAGAAAACUAAAAGAUGCAUCAAUCAAUAUUUUUUUAAAAAAUAUUAUUGUACAUCCCAAUUGCAUUUAAAAGAAAAAUAGGGCCAUCUUUCUAAUUGCAUUAGGCCUCUUUCUUUUAUCUUUUUAUAAUUUGUUUUAUUUUAAUUUAAAAUAAUCUUAUAAUUUAUAUUUAAAGUAAUUCAUUUUCUCUUUGGGUUUUUUAUUUUUUGUAUUUAUUUAUUUUUAAAUAAUGACUGAUUUUUAAUUAUUUUAUAGAUAUUUGAAGAAAUUAUUCUAAUUUAUCUAUAUUUUUUUAUAAAAUUAAAAUUUAUUUUUAAAUAAUGCUUCAUAAUCAGAACUUCUUCCACGCAUUCAUCCAGUUUCCUGCACCCUACUUCUGGGCAAUUACCUACCUUCGGAAAUAUAUCUGUGUUAUCGGAUAGAUUAUUAUUUUUUUCAUAAAAAGUCAUCUCUACAAGUGUGCUUAUAUUUGUGAUUGAUGUGAUUUGUCUUUAAUUUAUUUUUUUUAAAAGGGAAAAGAAAGAAGGUCGAAGAUUCCUUUUCACUACUCGUUAAGGUUUCUGUUUUUAAACCGGAGAAAGAAACCUGAUAUCCUUUUCUCUCUCUCUUUUUUUUUUGGUAAAAAAGUAUCGAGCUUGUGUUAUGUAAAAUUUAAUUCGUCCACCAAAAAAGAAAAAGAAAGAAAUGUACAAUUACUAGCUUGCUGACGGGCCAUGCAGUUCCUCUGUUUUGUCAAUUUCUUCGAAUUAUCAGCACUGCUAACAAGCAUGAUCAUCCCUUGUGUAAAUCUCACGGCUCGUAUCAUUUCUCAUAUUGCUAUCAUUAAUUAUUAGAUACAAACAACUUUUUGACGUUGGAAAGAACAAGAAACCGAUCGAUUUAGAGUGCCGUCACCGUAAUAAUGUAAGGGCAAGAUAGAGGAAGACCCUUUACUAGCAUCCGUUCGGUAGAGACUUAACUUCUCUUUCUCGAACCCUUCCCUGUGCCCAUGGUAGGCCACUCCAUUGAAGAAUAUCGUUUCUUGAUCUCCUCCCAUCCAUUCGUUACUUUGCCGUAUUUCUCUUCGGCCGAUUUGGCUGGUUAAGAUUCAUGGCUAUUCUACUAUUCUGAAGGCCCUGAUAUGAUUCUACCUGAUCGAAUUUUGCUAUUUUUUCAAUGGCCUCGCAUGAUAAAUUUUACUAUACGCCAGAUAAUAUACCUAAUUAUCUAUAUUUUGUUUUUUUAUUAUUAAAAAGGAAAGCAUAAGAGUUGCUUGGUAACAUGUAAAGGGUAAGUGAUUUGGGUGGUUUUCUCCUCUGCCACGACCAACGAAGUUGAUGUAAAACAAUGCCCAAAACAAACAGUGUACCCAUCUGCACUUCACACAUAUCAGGUACAUGUAGAGUACGAGCUCGGAGUCACAAGUAAACCCACUUUCUCAAAUUAAUGCAACAGUUUCGUCACAACACGGCGUGGUGGCUCCUCCUACCAUAGCAACUCCUACCGUGAAAGAGUGAAGCAAAAGAAGAAUCAUUUGCAUCUCAAAGUCCAGAUCAAAGGUAUCUCUCUAAAACGAAUUAUAGGAAUUAGGAAAAAGAUGAUAGAAGAAUCACUUAUGGUUGACCGUACGUAAUUAUAAAGAUCCUAGAAUUAGACUAGAAAAAAGAGAGGAAAAAAGAGUAUACGGACAACAAAGCAAGCAGAGCAAGAAUGAAAUUUGUGUUGAGAAAAAGAACGAUCGAGAGUGACUCGGCAACCUCCACUAGACACUCAAUUGUUAUCUCUCUGUCAAAAAAACAAAUUUUGAUUCCACGUUUCAUUGACUGCCUAAAAGAAAUCAAAAUCAUAUAACUUGCGCGCACAAGAUUUGUAACUUUCCUCUCUGUCUCGACCGUUUCAUGAUUUUUUCAAAAAAAAAACCACUUCAGCAAAAUGUACACUUUCAAUUUCGAAGUCUUGAUUUCAUAUCGAUCUCACGUGUAUGCACAUAUAAUCUAAGAAACAGAGAUAGCUCGUUAUCAAUUGCAUAAGAAGUAACACAUCAAAUUAAACUACAAACAUUGAAGACUAAAAAAACAAAAAAAAAGAAAAGAAAGAAAGAAGAAGAAAUAAUUACUUAAAGGCGGUAUAACAUGUGACCAUCUUCUUCUAUAUAUAUAUAUAUAUAUAUGGCAACUCCUUACCAGCUGAUACCUUAUAUAUAUAUAUAUAUAAUCUCCCUCAUCUUCAGAUGCUUACAUGACAACGCGUUGCCAGCUGAUACUUAACGACGUUGUCACCAACCAUAAUUCCACUAGUUCUGCUACCAAACUGAAUAUAAGCAGGACACCUAACAUGCAAAUUGUAUUUCGCAGAGAUAAAGGUUCCGACUUUGAAUCGAACUCGACCAUCAAUCUUGAUCAUCAGCAUCACAACUCCAGCACCUUGGUCUUGACUUAAUGCAGCUGAAUUGUACGGAGAUACCGGCACGGAGUUGCCGUAAAUAAAAGGAGACCAAACAUUAGUCUCUUCGUGUCCUUGGUAAGAAGUAGGUAUGGAAGUUCGUAGAGUUAUUUGUUGGUCACGGUAUGUGCCAUAAAUAUCGAGUCUAUCAUAGUAGAUUCCGACUCUAUCAUCCGGGUUGCGAGAGGAUACGGUGACUUGGAAGUUGGAAGUGAUGAAAUUUGGAUAUGAAACGUUAAAGGCGUAAACCGUAGCAUCUUGGAGGAUGAAUUUUGGUUUUGAAGGACGGAGGAUGGCCCAAACUAUGAGGAUUACGAUGAGGGCAAUGAGGAGGAAGGUUAGGAUUACGGCGAAUAACAGGCGGACGAGUCUUGGGCGUGUGUGGCCGUGGUUGCCGCUGUCUUUCUUGGAUGUCAUGUUGGAGGAGUUGGCGGUGGAGAAGUGGAGAGAAAGAGAGUAGCUUUGUGAGGAAGAUUCUCCGAGGGAAGUGUGGAGUUAUUAAGAGUUCGAGGGAGUGAGUGAGAGAGAGGAUUUUGGGGUUCUUUGCUUAAUGCGGGGGUUGUAUUGACGGUGCCGUGAGAUAAACGCGUUGUGUUAUGGGUGUGUAUUAAGGUCUUGUAAUAAGAUGUGAAAUGGUGAUUAGUGCUUUUAUUUUCUUCAGUUUGUGCGGUAGUGGUAGGACUUGGGAGGGUUCUAGCUUAAAGUUUUAUGUGAUUAAUGGGAUUUAAUUGUUAAAUUGGAGGAUACUUGUAUUAGGUCCCUUUUUGUAAUUAACGUUGUGACCAAUUUAUUUGAGGCUUUUUUAGAACAUAAUGAUGAGUAAUUUAAUAACUUUUACUUUUGAAAAUUCUAUGUAUACAUGAGCCUAUGAGAAAAACUUAUGUAUAAGAUAAUGUUUUUUUUUUUUUUUUUUAUCGUUUUCUUUUGAGUGUAUGUCAUUGUAUUAGAAAAGUUCAUAUUUGCUAUUUUUUGGCUAACAAAAAUUUGUUAUUCUUAAACAUAUUAAAAUUAUAAAUUACAAAAAAAAAAAACCACUUCAGCAAAAUAUACACUUUCAAUUUCGAAGUCUUGAUUUCAUAUCGAUCUCACGUGUAUGCACAUAUAAUCCAAGAAACAGAAAUAGCCCGUCAUCAAUUGCAUAAGAAGUAACACAUCAAAUUAAACUACAAACAUUGAAGACUAAAAAAACAAAAACAAAAGAAAGAAAGAAAGAAGAAGAAAUAAUUACUUAAAGGAGGUAUAACAUGUGACCAUCUUCUUCUAUAUAUAUAUAUAUAUAUAUAAUCUUCCUCAUCUUCAGAGGCUUACAUGGCAACUCGUUGCCAGCUGAUACUUGACGACGUUGUCACCAACCAUAAUUCCACUAGUUCUGCUACCAAACUGAAUGUAAGCAGGACACCUGACAUGCAAAUUGUAUUUCGCAGACAUAAAGGUUCCGACUUUGAAUCGAACUCGACCAUCAAUCUUGAUCAUCAGCAUCACAACUCCAGCACCUUGGUCUUGACUUAAUGCAGCUGAAUUGUACGGAGAUACCGGCACGGAGUUGCCGCAAAUAAAAGGGGACCAAACAUUAGUCUCUUUGUGUCCUUGGUAAGCAGAAGGUAUGGAAGUUCGUAGAGUUAUUUGUUGGUCACGGUAUGUGCCAUAAAUAUCGAGUCUAUCAUAGUAGAUUCCGACUCUAUCAUCCGGGUUGCGAGAGGAUACGGUGACUUGGAAGUUGGAAGUGAUGAAAUUUGGAUAUGAAACGUUAAAGGCGUAAACCGUAGCAUCUUGGAGGAUGAAUUUUGGUUUUGAAGGACGGAGGAUGGCCCAAACUAAGAGGAUUACGAUGAGGACAAUGAGGAGGAAGGUUAGGAUUCCGGCGAAUAACAGGCGGACGAGUCUUGGGCGUGUGUGGAUGUGGUGGCCGUGGUUGCCGCAGUCUUUGGAUGUCAUGUUGGAGGAGUUGGUGGUGGAGAAGUGGAGAAGUGGAGAGAAAGAGAGUAGCUUUGUGAGGAAGAUUCUCCGAGGGAAGUGUGGAGUUCUUAAGAGUUCGAGGGAGUGAGUGAGAGAGAGGAUUUUGGGGUUCGUUGCUUAAUGUGGGGUUUGUAUGGACGGUGCCAUGAGAUAAACGUGUUGUGUUAUGGUUGUGUAUUGACCUGUUUGUUUGCUAGAAAAUAAUUUUUUUUUUAAAGUGAAUUUUAGGAAAAAUGAAUUUCAAGAAAAUUUUUUGAUGUUUGAUAGUGUAUUACAAAAUAAGUUGGAAAAUACUUUUCAGUGUUUGGUUAUGUCAUGGAAAAUGAGCUAGAAAGUAACUUAUUAAUAUUUUAUUUUUCUCAAGUUUAUUAAAAUAAUGAGGAACAAAUCUUACAAAUUAAAAAGUUGAAUGAGAAUGAAAUUGAAAAAAAAAUAUAAUUUCAUAAAUUAUCUCAAAUAAAAUAAAUAAUAAUCAAAAUAAUAGAGAUCAAAUCUAAAAAAUAAAAAAAAAAGAUGAAUAAAUUAAAAUAAUAAUAAUCGACAUUUCAUAAAUUAUUUCAAAUAAAAUAAGUAAUAAUCAAAAGAAUGAGGACCAAAUUUGAUAGAUAAAAAAAUUCAAUAAAAAAAUGAUAAUGAAAAAGCAAAUAGCAAUUAUAAAAAUAAGGACCAAAGUUAAUAUAAAAAUAAAAUUUUAAGAGAUGAAAUUGAAAAAUAAUAUUCAAAACAAAAUAUAUAUAGCAAUCAAAAGUUUGAGGAUCAAAUUUGAUAUAAUCAGUAAAUAAUGACAUUUCUAAAUUUUUCACAACUUCCGGAAAGUGUUUUCCUUUCAAAUUUUUUAGGAAAACACUUUCCUGAAAACCAAGCCAAAUUUUUCUUUUACUGGAAAGUGUUUUCCAUUAAUCAACUUUCCUAAUGACAAACAAACAUAAGAAAGUUUGGAAAGUAAUUUCCCGGAAACCAUUUUCCGGAAAAUAAACACAGCUAAAGAAAAAACACUUUCCUGAAAAUCACGCAAAAUGUUUUUUAACUGAAAUUGACUGGAAAGUAUUUUUCGUUGACCGGAAAGUGUUUUUCGUUGACCAACUUUUCUAAUGACAAACAAACACAUGAAAGUUUAGAAAAUGGUUUUCCAAAAACUACUUUUCGGGAAACAAAUAUGGCCUUAAAGUCUUGUAAUAAGAUGUGAAAUGGUGAUUAGUGCUUUUAUUUUCUUCAGUAUGUGUGGUAGUGGUAGGACUUGGGAAGGCUCUAGCUUAAAGUUUAAUGUGAUUAAUGGGAUUUAAUUGUUAAAUUGGAGAAUACUUGUAUUAGGUCCCUUUUUGUAAUUAACGUU
rnacentral:lncRNA from 1 species